rnacentral:rRNA from 1 species
UACGAAGGGGCUAGCGUUGUUCGGAAUUACUGGGCGUAAAGGGCGCGUAGGCGGCGUUGUAAGUGAGAUGUGAAAAGACCUGGGCUUAACCUAGGAGGUGCAUUUCAGACUGCAAUGCUAGAGUGCGAGAGGGGAAAGUGGAAUGACGAGUGUAGAGGUGAAAUUCGUAGAUAUUCGUUGGAACACCAGUGGCGAAGGCGACUUUCUGGCUCGGCAACUGACGCUAAGGCGCGAAAGCGUGGGAGCAACAGG